GUUUCUUUCUCCAUCACAAUAUAAGCAUUACCACUUACCUCAGUGUUUUACAUCAAGCAAGAAGAGACUCCUGAUUACAUUGCCUGCAAAGCCAGAACUAUGGUUUUUCAUACUAAAGUGGUGGUUUUUCUUGUUCUUCUUGCCUGGGCAACAACAGAAUUUGCCUGGCAUGCAAAUGCACAUGAUGGUCAUGGCUGGGUUACAUCUGGAGGCUGCAGCUACAUAUAUAUCGGAAUCAAGAUGGACUGGGCGUCUGCUGAGCAACACUGUCUGAGUCUUGGUGCAAACUUGGUCUCAAUACGCAGCGAGGCUGAAUAUCAGCAUGUCAAGUCUGUUAUCCGUACUCAUGACCCCAGUGAAAGUGAAACAUGGAUUGGCCUUUCUUGCUGUGAGAA